UAUUCGUAACACGUUUCCGUAGGAGAACCUGCGGAAGGAUCAUUAC
rnacentral:rRNA from 1 species